rnacentral:rRNA from 1 species
AUUGAACGCUGGCGGCAGGCCUAACACAUGCAAGUCGAGCGAGAACCAGGCCUUCGGGCCUGGGGAAAGCGGCGAACGGGUGAGUAACACGUGGGCAACCCACCCUUGGUAUCGGGAUAGCCCGGGGAAACCCGGAUUGAUACCGAAUGGCCCAGCAGCUCUUCGGGGCGGCUGGAAAAGGUAGCUUCGGCCUCCGACCAAGGACGGGCCCGCGGCGGAUUAGCUUGUUGGUGGGAUAACGGCCUACCAAGGCGACGAUCCGUAGCUGGUCUGAGAGGACGAUCAGCCACACUGGGACUGAGACACGGCCCAGACUCCUACGGGAGGCAGCAGUGGGGAAUCUUGCGCAAUGGGCGAAAGCCUGACGCAGCGACGCCGCGUGGGGGAAGAAGGCUCUCGGGUUGUAAACCCCUUUCAGGAAGGACGAAGCCACUCGGGUUAAUAGCCCAGAGGGUGACGGUACUUCCAGAAGAAGCCCCGGCUAACUACGUGCCAGCAGCCGCCGUAACAC